AUUGAACGCUGGCGGCAUGCCUUACACAUGCAAGUCGAACGGUAACAGGUCUUCGGUUGCUGACGAGUGGCGCACGGGUGAGUAAUACAACGGAACGUGCCCGAACGUGGGGGACAACGAGGCGAAAGCUUUGCUAAUACCGCUUACGAUCUACGGAUGAAAGCGGGGGGUCUUCGGACCUCGCGCGGACGGACCGGCCGAUGGCAGAUUAGGUAGUUGGUGGGAUAAAGGCUUACCAAGCCGACGAUAUGUAGCUGAUCUGAGAGGAUGAUCCGCCACACUGGAACUGAGACACGGCCCAGACUCCUACGGGAGGCAGCAGUAGGGAAUUUUGGACAAUGGGCGAAAGCCUGAUGCAGCAAUGCCGCGUGCAGGAUGAAGGCCUUCGGAUUGUAAACUGCUUUUAUACGGAACGAAAAACUGCGUACGAAAAAAGAGAGGUCAUGACGGUACCGUAAGAGUAAGCACCGGCUAACUACGUG
rnacentral:rRNA from 1 species